rnacentral:rRNA from 1 species
CCUACGGGAGGCUGCAGUGAGGAAUAUUGGUCAAUGGGCUGACGCCUGAACCAGCCAAGUCGCGUGAGGGAAUAAUGCCCUACGGGUUGUAAACCUCUUUUGCCGGGGAGCAACGCCGGGGACGUGUCCCCGGACUGAGAGUACCCGAAGAAAAAGCAUCGGCUAACUCCGUGCCAGCAGCCGCGGUAAUACGGAGGAUGCGAGCGUUAUCCGGAUUUAUUGGGUUUAAAGGGUGCGUAGGCGGGCUUUUAAGUCAGCGGUAAAAAUGCGGGGCUCAACCCCGCUCGGCCGUUGAAACUGGCGGUCUUGAGUGGGCGAGAAGUAUGCGGAAUGCGUGGUGUAGCGGUGAAAUGCAUAGAUAUCACGCAGAACUCCGAUUGCGAAGGCAGCCUUCCGGCGCCCUACUGACGCUGAAGCACGAAAGUGCGGGGAUCGAACAGGAUUAGAUACCCUUGUAGUC